rnacentral:lncRNA from 1 species
AAGCAAAUACUCGGCAAUAAUUAAGUGCAAUGCUUGUUGGGAAAGUGAGUAGGCUGAACCCGAGGAGUAGGACUUCAUGUCCUGGACGAUUCCUUUAUCAUGGAACCACACACUUAACACUUGCUGGAAUUCUUGUGGCGAUAGUUCUUUCAAUGUUUUCUCGUUAACACUUUGAAUUGCCGGAGUUAAAUUUUCCAUGUUUGGAAAUUUGAAUUUCCGACAUUGUUUGUAUUUACCGGUGAGUGGUUGUCAUACUGGACAAUGGUUGCCUGCUUUACAACCGUAUUUUUUACAUAUUUUUUAGGUCUUUAAUUUCAAAUAAUCAUGACUUUUGCUCUGAUACUUUCCUGUAAAAUACACUAUGAAAUCAAUAGAUAGUCAUCUCAAUGUAGUAAAUGCAUCUCAAAUGUCUACCAAUUUAUUGUUGAGUUCUUGAGAACACCGGAUUUUUAUCAAUAUAAUAUCCAUUCAGCUAGGGGCGUAUUUGACAACCCUUUGACAGUAAAGUGUCACAUUUAAUCACAAACAAAUCAUUUUGUUUAUUGUUAAGAAAAACUGAACAUUUUGAAUGAACAAGUGCGUGAUAUGUGAAAAAGGUCGCGGGAAUUAGUGUACAUUAUUGUGCUUCAGAAGACAGCGGUUUGGAAACAUGGACAACAAAUCAGGUAAUCCAAACGACUGCACCAGAAUAGAUUUUGAAAGGGCAUGCUCCUGUGCGGUGAGCUACGUGGCUCUCUCCGUUUGAAUUAUCACGUAAAUAGCUAUUUGGGCGGCGAGCUAGCAGACGUAUCACCAUACAACAAACUGCUGUCGCUGACGCGUGGCAUGGCAGCAGUGGCCGCUAUUCAGCACUCUCAAGACGCUGAGGACGUCUUCCUCGGUAAAG